GGUCAGGGAAAGCCUAGUGGAAGAUGUGUGAUCAGGCUGUACUGUGAGGCUGCCAAAGCUCAAAACAAACUAAAAUAGGACAAGCUGUGGGAAGAACAGAUGAGCAGGCCUUAAAUGCUAAGCUCAGACACUGGGCUUGCUAGGCCAGGAAACCCCCAGCCAAGGAUGGGUUCUAACUGAUUUCUGUGUCCCGAAUAGAGCCUGACACCAGGCGAUUUGCCACGAGAAGGACAUGGCCUGGUGGCUACUGCACCUUCAGCUUCCGCACACAUAAAUACAUAUGGAACACACCGGACCUAGUCUCCAGCCUGGAGCCAUGCCUACAGCAUGGCUGAAGCAUGAAGCAGGGCUAACUGGCCACAUUCAACCUCCAUCAGCUGAAGCACAAUACACCUGCAAACCUAUGAGUCUGAGAAUAAAGGCUUGUUAUUGAAAGCCACUAAGAUUUGGGGUGGUUUGUUAUCCAACAUUCUGAUGGCAACAGCAGUAAUAGAUCACCAGGUCUUUGUGAUUUUGCUUUUAAAUAAAUUCACUAAUUCUAAAUGGAAUUCUCAA
rnacentral:lncRNA from 10 species